AUGUCAGAGUGUAUCUGCCCUCUCAUUGGCUAGAAUGGUCCCACCUGAUCUUGCUUCCUCCCAAUGCCUUCAAUUUUUGAAGAUAUGUUCAUCCUUAGAGUGGCCACUGGAGCAUUUGAUCAAUAUGAUGGAUCAUCUGUGAUAGGGCUCACCAGUCCUAAAAAACACAAAUUAGUUAUCUCUGGUUUGUUCAUCCAUUCCUAUGGAGAAAAUCUCUAAACCAUUACUGACACCCCUCUCGACCCACUGCAGUUUGCCUACAGAACUAACAGGUCUGUGGAGGAUGCUAUCAGCAUGGGCCUACACUACAUUCUCAAACACCUCAAUAACCCAAACACGUAUGCAAGGAUAUUGUUUGUGGACUUUAGCUCUGCAUUUACAGUUUUUUCUGAAUGCUUAAACACUAACAGUGAUUCUUGAAGCACUAUCUCUGAAACCAUUAACACUUGUAGCCAAUGCAUUUACCAAGUGUGCCAAACUGAAUGCACGUUCUCUGCUUUACACUCAGUUUGCAAUUUAAUAACACACUUCUAGCAAAACUGUAAACAUUGGUCUCUACAUUGCUACACUAUUUCGCCAAUUGCCUUCCCACAUUGACAGGUGAAAACACUUUCAGAUAAUGAGUUCACUUACAAAUCAGAGCUUGAGCACUAUAAAUAGGCAACAGGUAAACAUUUGGUUUGGACAACAAUGGAGGCCAAUAUUGGCCAGAGAGUAAGAGGGGUGAGAACUAGAGGAGGACAAGGAAGAGUAGGAUGAGGAGGUGAAGAAGUAAGAGGAGGAAGAGGUGAAGUGGGAGAAGGAGAGGACGGGGAAGAGGAAGGGGUGUCAGGAACACAAUAACUGAUGAAAUCUGAGCGACUGUGGUUGACCAUGUUUUCAACCAUGGGAUGAACAUGAGGGAGGCUGGGCAACGGGUUCAACCAAAUCUGAGCCCCUAUGCUGUUGCAGGUAUCAUCCGGAUAUUUCGAAAUGAGAACCGAGAAACAUGGAGCUAGAAGCAGAUGCAGUGCAUCAUGAGCUAAUAUAUGUGGACGAGGCAGGUUUCAACCUUGCAAAAACAAGGGGCCAUUAUCAUCGGACACCGUGCCAUCAUCAACGUCCCGGGACAACGUGGUGGCAACAUAACAAUGUGUGCGGCUAUUAGUCAAAACGGUGUCCUUCACCAUCAUGCAAUUCUAGGCCCAUACAACACUGCACACAUUAUCACAUUUCUGGACACCCUCCACAACAGACUGACCCCUAAUGACCAGGGGCCAGAGCAGCCCAGAAUUCUUCUCUGCAUGGCGUUGGAAGGUGUAUGAUCGCCAGCCCCAUCAACGCAUACCCCUUCUACAGGCAAUGGAGGAGGCUUGUGGAGACAUCGAUCAGGGGUCAUGUCAGGCCUGGAUACGACCAGACCCACAAAGAAGGCGAGAUAUAGCCUAAUUUUUUUUCUGUUCUUUUUUUUUUCUAGCACAAAUGUUUUUGUUUUCUCCUACUGCGCUUUUGUUGUUAGAGGAGUGUUAGAACAUUUUUUUUAAACGUUUAAAAAAAACUUUUCCCCCUUAUUUGUGUUGAUAGCAUUAUGUUCGGAAUACACAUCCAUACUUUACACAUUUGGAUACCUGUGUGUAUGUGUGUUUACUACAUGAAUGACAAAACUUUCUUGCAAACUGCUAUGCCCUGCACACAGAAAAAGCCAAGUGUUUUUCAUUUAUACUUUCAGUGCGUAGUUUCGUGUGCUUAUUCAAAUUAUGGUUUGUGUGGAUUGUAUUGACACAAAAACAAAAACGCUUUAAUGUUUGAAGAGUUUUGCAAGAAUUGUUUGCUUUUGCAAGAGAUGUAUACUGUUUUGCUGGUUUAGUGAAAGGGUUUGUGGUUAGUGUGUAGAGUUUUAGCAAAAAUAGCCUAUAGUUUCAAAGAUCGUGCCUAAGCAAUCAGAAAAAACUGUAAUACCAUCAUCCCAGAACUGCUACAAAACAAAUUCUCCCAGCUGAACGUGUCCAGCUCCAUCUGUCAGUGGAUCAGACUUCCUGUCCAGCAGGACACAACACGUGAAGCUGGGAAAAGACCUUUCGUACUCUUUAUCCCUCAGCACCAAUGCACCACAGGGAUGCGUGCUCUCACCUCUACAAUACUCACUCAGCGCCAAUGACUCCACCUCCAACAACACAUCGGCCAAACUACUGAAGUUUGCAGAUGACACUACUCUGGCCGGUCUUGAUUGAUGGCUCAGCUGUUAGCACUGUAUAUCAACCAUAUACCCACUGUAUAUCAACCGUAUACCCACUGUACAUUUGUAUAUCUGCUCUCUCUUUAUAGCUCUAUGCUCACUCUACCUAGUUGUAUAUAAUGUAUGUAAACUUUGUUUAAACUCCGUUGUCCUUAUUCUGUCUGUAAAUGUUGUCUGUCACUAGCAACACCAUAUCACCAAGUAAACUUCUGAGUAUGUGUAAAUGUACUUGGUGAAUAAAGGUGAUUCUUAAAUGAAUGAGGAAAGAAUAGCAUUUUUGGAUAGAUGUCAAAAAUAAAUUCUGAGGUUAACACAUGCUUAGGAGAUCUUAUAGGUUUUGUUCUAUGAGAUAUGUGCUUUUUUAAAUUAAAUAAAUGCUUCAAAUUUCA